UACAGAGGGUGCAAGCGUUAAUCGGAAUUACUGGGCGUAAAGCGCGCGUAGGUGGUUUGUUAAGUUGGAUGUGAAAGCCCCGGGCUCAACCUGGGAAUUGCGCUUGUUACUGGCAGACUUGAGUGUAGCAGAGGGGGUGGAAUUCCACGUGUAGCAGUGAAAUGCGUAGAGAUGUGGAGGAACACCGAUGGCGAAGGCAGCCCCUGGUUAACACUGACGCUCGAUGCACGAAGCGUA
rnacentral:rRNA from 1 species